AACAUCGCGCACCUGCGGGAACCUGCGGAGGGAUCAUUACAAAAGGAGGAUGCGAGAAUGCUGAGCCGAAGGCGAGGUGAAAUGUCUGAGCCGGAGGCGAAGCGAAAACACCGAGCCGAAGGCGAAGGGUUGGGAAGGAUGGAGAAAGCGAGCCGAAGGCGAGGCGAAGGAGGCGAAGAGCGACUUUGUUCUCGUUGUUCUCGUCGUUCGUUCUUUCCUCGGUUCCUCCUAUUCUCUCAA
rnacentral:misc_RNA from 1 species